AACGCGAAGAACCUUACCAGCCCUUGACAUCCCGGUCGCGGAUACGAGAGAUCGUAUCCUUCAGUUCGGCUGGACCGGUGACAGGUGCUGCAUGGCUGUCGUCAGCUCGUGUCGUGAGAUGUUGGGUUAAGUCCCGCAACGAGCGCAACCCUCGCCCUUAGUUGCCAUCAUUAAGUUGGGCACUCUAAGGGGACUGCCGGUGAUAAGCCGAGAGGAAGGUGGGGAUGACGUCAAGUCCUCAUGCCCCUUACGGGGUGGGCUACACACGUGCUACAAUGGUGGUGACAGUGGGCAGCGAGACCGCGAGGUCGAGCUAAUCUCCAAAACCCAUCUCAGUCCGGAUUGCACUCUGCAACUCGAGUGCAUGAAGUGGAAUCGCUAGUAAUCGCAGAUCAGCAUGCUGCGGUGACUACGUUCCCGGGUCUUGUACACACCG
rnacentral:rRNA from 1 species